rnacentral:sRNA from 1 species
UAAGACAGGAUUCAACUACACCACGAUA